GGCAAAUACAAUAUGAGUCUUAAAUAUCUUGUGGUGCCAGAAGGAGUGGAUGUUAUGACAGAGGAAUGUAGGAAGGAAGGACAUCAGGCUCUGAACAUCCAUCCAUGUAAAACAUUGAAUAAGACUAGCUGUUAAACAGGGCUUUUUCCCUAGAAAGGUGUCAUAAUUUUGACUCCAUCAAAUUCUUCUAACAGCAAGUACUCAUUUGGGCCCAUUUUACAGAAGAAGGAAAACUCUUGAGUUUUGAAGAUGAAGAAAAACCGAAGCUAUAAGGACUGAGAUAAAAUGCCAAGGACAUAUAGCUUGAAAAAGGCAUGGCUAGAAUGUGCACUCAGUAUGACCUCAGCACCCAAGCUCUUUACCAAUAUAUGCUGCAAUCUUAGGCUCAUCAACUGCACACAGUGAAUUGUGGUGCUACUUCGUCUAAGCCUGCAUUCUCCUUCAGAGCCUACACCUCCCUUUCAGCUGUUUUCACCUUCACUGUUCCAAAAAAAGCAGACUUUGAAAACUUAAGAAAUGACAUUAAAAAAAAUCAAAAUCGAUUCAGAUUGACAUUCAACUUUAUUCAUUAAGUUGAACUAGGUCUAACAUAAAUGCCUAGGUAUAAAACCUAAAGAAUAGGGGCAGAUGAUUUUGUGAAAAGUAAUAAUAAUAGUGAUAAGCUUUUGCUUUUUAUGAACAAAUUUACAACCUACAUACUUUAUGAAUUUGAAAGAAACUUAAAUGAUCUGAUUUAACUAACUAUCCCUAAAUUCUGUUAACACGUCCCUGACAGAUGAUCUAAUAGUGGCUGGGAAAUUGGCACCACUCAAAACUUCCAAUAUUUACUGCUACGUUGCACAAAAUUUCUGCUUCCAUUUGAGCACACACUCAUCUUCCUAAACUGUCAAUUGAUCUUAAU
rnacentral:lncRNA from 1 species